AACGUGCCCAAUAGUGGGGGAUAGCCCGGCGAAAGCCGGAUUAAUACCGCAUGAGACCUGAGGGUGAAAGCGAGGGAUUCGCAAGAACCUCGCGCUAAUGGAGCGGCCGAUAUCAGAUUAGGUAGUUGGUGGGGUAAAAGCCUACCAAGCCGACGAUCUGUAGCUGGUCUGAGAGGACGACCAGCCACACUGGGACUGAGACACGGCCCAGACUCCUACGGGAGGCAGCAGUGGGGAAUUUUGGACAAUGGGCGCAAGCCUGAUCCAGCCAUGCCGCGUGCGG
rnacentral:rRNA from 1 species